UGGGUACAAAACUUUGCACCGUUCUGCAUUAUCCUUUGGGAUCUGAUUAUUAAUUCCUAUUUUCGUGCCAGUGAGUCUUAUGCCCAGGCUUUUAACCAUUAUUUAUCUUUAAAGAAUGCAAAUUUUGCAACGAUUGUGCACUCGUAUCACUGUCCUCUCUGUCCGAAAUGGUGUACACGUUUGAUUUUGUCCACAAUAUCGCCUGGGAUCUGAAACGCUUUAAGAAGUCAUUUUUUCACCACACUUUCAGGAUUUUCACCCUCAUUUUCUUUAAUACCAGCAGGACAAGCGAGGCUUAGGGGACACUCUGAGGAUCAAAGAGAGAAUGCCUGAUUAGUGUCACUGAAUGGUAUUUAAUGAUGCUGUUCCUCGCUUUAUUUAUUGCCCAAGGGUCCCAAUAUCGACAGUGUGAUGACCGGGGCAGGAUACCUAAGGGACCGACCAGGACGGACCCUGACAUGCUUCAUAGACCAACCAGCUGUGGGAUGCAGGGAGCUGUAUAGGGCCGUGAGCAAACAAGAAAAUGCACAUUCAGAGGCGGCGCUCCUAGUGACAGGUGAUUUUUAUGCACGGUUCCAAAUAAAUGACAUUGUUACAUGCUCCUCCCACCAUGUUAUCUACAUAAUUAAAUGUCCAUGUGGGUUGUGUUAUGUAGGUAAAACCUCAUGUUCUCUCAAACAAAGAAUUUGUGAACAUAACAAUUCAAUCAGAAGAAACGACAGGGAUUAUUCAGUCACAGUACCAUUUUAAUGACCAAAAACAUUACAUUUCUAUCUUUAGAUUUUGUGGCAUAGAGAAGGUCAAGAUAUCAGACAGGGGAGGUGAUAUAAAUAAAAAUCUGAGCAAAAAAUAAUGUUUUUGGAUUAUUAUUAUUCCCAAAAGGUCUUAGUGAUGAAAUGCCCAUGCAGGUUAUGUUGUAAAUGUGAACAUGAACUAAUGCCUUGUCGUUAACCACCAGUUUUUUCUUACAGUGUACCUAAUGAUUUAUGAAAACAUACUUGAUAGGUCGAUGUCCUCAUUGUGGUUUUACACA